GGAGGAACCGUGGGUCAGUGAUAGAGCAUCUGCUUGGAAUGCAGAAGGUCCCAGGUUUGAUUCCGGAUAUCUCCA
rnacentral:tRNA from 1 species